CUUGGUCCUGCCCCGGGAUCGGUCGUCCACUUUGCCCCGAGGCUAAAAGUCAACAAUAAAGGCCUCCAUUUCCCCCUUCUGAAAUUUCAAACUCCAGUUUGUGAACAAAGUCUAUCUCCUGCAUAGGCAUCUCCCACCAGCGACCAAACUCCAUUUGAAACGGAAGCCUAUUUGUACCUUCCCCCUGAAAGAUACCUUUCCACUUCAGAGGCAACAUCACGGGAAGGAAGGUUGAAGAAGCACGACAAAAAUGAAGCGAGCCGGGCGCAGGCUAACCGGCAGGGAGAGAACAGGCCUUCCUAGAAGCCAUGGAUUAUGGAACGCGCAGAGACUGUCCGUUUCUCAAAUGGGGGAGAGCCUGUCUGUCAGAAAACAGUCCAUUUUAUGGCUCAGAUGUGUUCAAAUAUUGAUAAGAGGGAAAGAAGAACACGGACAAUGUGCUUGCCACAGCACAUUUGGGACCAGUAAAAAAAAAAAAGCCUGCGCUGCCUAGGUCUGAUGGCGAAGAUACGCCAUCGGCUGCACUGCGCAGCUACCGCGUCGGAGGAGCACGCCCUGCGUGUGACUGGUGCAGGCGAACUACAGGCGUCUGAUUGACAGGAGGAGUUUUGAUGGGUGGACAUUCCAGAUGACCCCCUGGCAAUGGUACAGCCGGUCAUGUUCCGCUCCGUGAUGUUGCUGGCCGCGGUCAGCACCUUGACGAUCAGGAUUUGUUACCGAACUGUGAGCCACGCCCGCGCAAUGGAGCUUGCCGUCUUGGCGCUGGAGAGUCACGCUCAAUCCUGGAGGGCUGCAGGUAUUUGUAGUUUCCUAUCAAUCAGCAGCCAAUUCAGGCAUUGAGCACAAGGUGUGUGCAUUCUUUAGAAGCAUGACCGAGCCCAGCACACUGUCCUCUCUACCCCACUGGCUGAGCCCCCACAUCCUGCCCUAUGUACAGCACUGAAGGACCCCCCAUCCUGCCCACUGAACCCCGGUCACUGAACAUCACCUGGAGAUCGUCAUACUGCACAUACUCCUUUGUACAUCUGCCAUCUGCUGAUAUUGAAUCAUUUUUAAUGGUAUUUAAGACAAAAUGUCAAAUGUAAAUCAUCAUAAAAACAGAAAAGAGUGGCGAUGGGCCACUCUCGCGAGAAACACGUGUCCGCAAGUGUUUUGCGAAUGACCCGCUCUGUGAAAUACUGUGUCUUGGGUGUGAUGAAUGUUUAUUUCUAACAUUCAGGCCUUGGGUGUAAUGAAUAUUUCCGACAUUGAAGAUUUAGAUGUGAUGAAUGUUUGCUUCUAACAUUCAUGAUGUUCUGCUGCUUUUGGCUUAGUGCGGCAGUUUUUGGGUCACACUUACGAACAAGGUUAACGUUUCAGUCACAGUGCUCUCAGAACCAGUUUAAAAGCAGAAUAAAUUCACAAGCUCAUUUAUACAGACACAUCCUAUGAAACUGCAGUUAAAAAUACGGUCACAGGAACUUUUUCAGACUAUAUGAUUAUGACCUGCGCUGAAUUUAUCAGCUCUUUAUGACUUUAAAAGCAUUUUGUACAAGACCGUUUUACAGCAUACAUGUCCAGGACAAAUGAGAGGAGUUGAUGAGGCAGUAAGAAGCAGUCUGGCCCUGUCAUCCUUAUCCACUCAGGCUGAAAGGACAGGGCUUUUUAAACGUAUUGCCUGCCUCCUUAAUCCUGUUUUUUUUCAAAAUAUGUGCCUUUGCGUCUUCGCAAUUUGUCAUGUUCAAAAGUAGAUUUCCACACUAAACUGACUUUUAAAGUAAUGUAUGCAUCACUGUUAUGUAAACCGAAUUCAUUAUGGGUCAUUCUGUGUAUUAAAGCUUCAGAAGAAGCG